GCCUUAGUAACUGCGAGUGAAGCGGCAAAAGCUCAAAUUUGAAAUCUGGCGUCUUCGGCGUCCGAAUUGUAAUUUGGAGAGACAUCUUCGGGGUAGGCGCUGUCCUAAGUUCCUUGGAACAGGACGUCACAGAGGGUGAGAAUCCCGUGUCUGGAUGGCUGCCCUACUCCAUGUGAAGUGUCUUCGACGAGUCGAGUUGUUUGGGAAUGCAGCUCAAAAUGGGAGGUAAAUUUCUUCUAAAGCUAAAUAUUGGCGAGAGACCGAUAGCGCACAAGUAGAGUGAUCGAAAGAUGAAAAGCACUUUGAAAAGAGAGUUAAAAAGUACGUGAAAUUGUUGAAAGGGAAGCGCUUGAGACCAGACUCGGUCAGUGGUGAUCAGCGGUGCUUCUGUACCGUGCACUUGCCAUUGACUGGGCCAGCAUCGGUUCGGACGGCGGGAUAAAGGCCUUAGGAAUGUGGCUCUCUUCGGGGAGUGUUAUAGCCUAGGGUGCAAUGCCGCCAGUCUGGACCGAGGACCGCGCUUCGGCUAGGAUGCUGGCGUAAUGGUCUUCAGCGACCCGUCUUGAAACACGGACCAAGGAGUCUAACAUCUAUGCGAGUGUUCGGGUGGAAAACCCUUGCGCGUAAUGAAAGUGAACGGAGGUGAGAACACUUCGGUGUGCAUCAUCGACCGAUCCUGAUGUCUUCGGAUGGAUUUGAGUAUGAGCAUAGCUGUUGGGACCCGAAAGAUGGUGAACUAUGCCUGAAUAGGGUGAAGCCAGAGGAAACUCUGGUGGAGGCUCGCAGCGGUUCUGACGUGCAAAUCGAUCGUCAAAUUUGGGUAUAGGGGCGAAAGACUAAUCGAACCAUCUAGUAGCUGGUUCCUGCCGAA
rnacentral:rRNA from 1 species